GAUGAACGCUGGCGGCGUGCCUAAUACAUGCAAGUCGAGCGAACAGACGAGGAGCUUGCUCCUCUGACGUUAGCGGCGGACGGGUGAGUAACACGUGGAUAACCUACCUAUAAGACUGGGAUAACUUCGGGAAACCGGAGCUAAUACCGUAUAACAUGUUGAACCGCAUGGUUCAACAGUGAAAGACGGUCUUGCUGUCACUUAUAGAUGGAUCCGCGCCGCAUUAGCUAGUUGGUAAGGUAACGGCUUACCAAGGCAACGAUGCGUAGCCGACCUGAGAGGGUGAUCGGCCACACUAGAGCUGAGACGCGGUCCAGACUCCUACGGGAGGCGCGAGUAGGGAAUCUUCCGCAAUGGGCGAAAGCCUGACGGAGCAACGCCGCGUGAGUGAAGAAGAUCUUCAGAUCGUAAACCUCUGUUAUUAGGGAAGAACAAAUGUGUAAGUAACUAUGCACGUCUUGACGGUACCUAAUCAGAAAGCCACGGCUAACUACGUG
rnacentral:rRNA from 1 species